rnacentral:rRNA from 1 species
GCCUAACACAUGCAAGUCGAGCGCCGUAGCAAUACGGAGCGGCAGACGGGAGAGUAACACGUGGGAACGUACCCUUUGGUUCGGAACAACCCAGGGAAACUUGGGCUAAUACCGGAUAAGCCCUUACGGGGAAAGAUUUAUCGCCGAAGGAUCGGCCCGCGUCUGAUUAGCUAGUUGGUGGGGUAAUGGCCCACCAAGGCGACGAUCAGUAGCUGGUCUGAGAGGAUGAUCAGCCUCACUGGGACUGAGACACGGCCCAGACUCCUACGGGAGGCAGCAGUGGGGAAUAUUGGACAAUGGGCGCAAGCCUGAUCCAGCCAUGCCGCGUGGGUGAUGAAGGCCUUAGGGUUGUAAAGCCCUUUCGGCGGGGAAGAUAAUGACGGUACCCGCAGAAGAAGCCCCGGCUAACUUCGUGCCAGCCGCCGCGGUAAUAC